GGCAGGCCACGCCCACUCGGGCCUCUGGGAACGCCCCCUUAGUUGCCCCUGCGGACCCCCCCCCCCAUAGAUACCUGUGCCCCCCAAAAUAGGUGUCGGUGCCUUCUUCCUCCCGCCUUGAGAGAUUUCAGCCUUCCUCAGUUUCCCCAAAGAGGGACUCCCCCCCCCCCUCCCUGGUGUUCAGGUAGCAGUAAACGGCUUGACUACUCAGAAGACUGUGCCUCCAUGUACUUAAAUAAUAUUUACGGGAAAUAAAAACCCUCUUUGGUUGUAUAUUAUUGUCAACAGGACUGUCAUAGAUCAGAGAGAAAGAAGCCUCUUACAAACGCCGGGCUCUACAAUAGGUGAAUCACGACCCUAGCAGGGUUUACUCAGAAUCAAGCC